GAUGAACGCUGGCGGCGUGCCUAAUACAUGCAAGUCGAGCGAACGGACGAGAAGCUUGCUUCUCUGAUGUUAGCGGCGGACGGGUGAGUAACACGUGGAUAACCUACCUAUAAGACUGGGAUAACUUCGGGAAACCGGAGCUAAUACCGGAUAAUAUUUUGAACCGCAUGGUUCAAAAGUGAAAGACGGUCUUGCUGUCACUUAUAGAUGGAUCCGCGCUGCAUUAGCUAGUUGGUAAGGUAACGGCUUACCAAGGCAACGAUGCAUAGCCGACCUGAGAGGGUGAACGGCCACACUGGAACUGAGACACGGUCCAGACUCCUACGGGAGGCAGCAGUCGGGAAUCUUCCGCAAUGGGCGCAAGCCUGACGGAGCAACGCCGCGUGAGUGAUGAAGGUCUUCGGAUCGUAAAACUCUGUUAUUAGGGAAGAACAUAUGUGUAAGUAACUGUGCACAUCUUGACGGUACCUAAUCAGAAAGCCACGGCUAACUACGUG
rnacentral:rRNA from 1 species